rnacentral:lncRNA from 1 species
CAUCUAUUUAAAAUAAAUAUAAAAAUAAAUUUUUAUAUCUUAAUAAUAUUUAUAUUUAUAUUUAUUAUAAAAAAUAAUUAUAAAUAUAGAUAUAUUGAUAUCUGAUUCAAUUUUAACCCCAUUUCUCAUCAAAUGUGGCUUAACUCCUGUUCCAUUCAUUUAUUACGAAGGCCCACGCGCACCUAAGUACAUCUCCUCUGCCUGGUGGA